GGAGCACCUGCCACUGCCCCGGGUUCGCUUCCCUCCUCCUACCCUGCGCGCUCUUUCCAGUGAAUCUCCCUCUGUCUUCCGCUCUCCCUGGCUGCUCUUCAAGGGCGCUGUCUAUGAGAAUCCAUACAUGCCCUUGUCCAUGGAAAUAAGAGGAUCUCAGACCUCAGGGGAGGGGCGAGGAAGGCUGAGGAAACUGUAGCCAAAGCCCUGCUCUUCAUGCUGCUCCUGCCAUUUAGGGGUCACCACAAUUUGAUUACCUCUGAUCUGGGAAGCUCACUACCUACCAUGCAGCUCUUUAGAUCCAUCUCUCUCUGUCCUGCCUGCUCACCAUAGCCUGGAGUCCUCAUCCUUAACAGCCCUGAUUUUCUAGCAGAAGACCCGGCGUCUAUCCGGGCCCAGCCUCCUCCCUUAGACCCAGGAAGGCAGUAUCACUUACCCAGGGGUGACAGAGGUGGCAGCUGUGGUGCUCAUGGUGCCCUUCGUGGGAGCUCUUGACCACCUGGAGUCUCCGGAGACAGCAGAGAGGUCUUGCUCAGCUGCCCAGGAUGGUCUUGGACUUGGGAUUCUCCUGCCUCAGCCUCCCAGAGUAUUGGGAUUACAGAUGGGGAAACUGAGGCACGCUCAGGCUGAGUGAUAGGCCUGGUGUCGUGGGGACGUGGUUGAAGCCAUGCUAUAAUAUGCUGUAGACCUGAGUACUUCCAUGCGACCCGAGUCUCACUAGGGUGCUGAGUCAGUCGACCAGGAUGCGUCCAACUUUCGGUCCUCCUGCCUCAGACUCCCAGAGUGCCACGAGGCCCGCCCGGCUGUGAGGUUCACUUUGUCGCCCUGCCCUUUUUUGGCUGUGUGACCAUGGGCAAGUCACUUAGCCUCCCUGGGCUGCAGGACCCCAACUGUCCAGGGAGGACAGCAAGGCCGGGAGGGUAGCACAGGACACUGCAAAGGAGACAGGUCGGGGUGAGUGGCGGCAGGGACCUGGGCUUCUCCCUGGUGCAGUGAUGGGCACAGGGGUCACUGCUGGGGCCGGAGCUGCCAGGUCGGCACUGAGCCUUCGAGAAGGGGCGCUGAGCCCGCAGGGCCAGCCUGACAGGCAGGUGCCGGGAGGAGGCAUGUCCGAGGGGGUGACACGGGAGGGACCACAGCUCCUGCGGCUCAGCCCCGGCCAGCUCUGUCACUCUGGGUCUCUGUCACCUCAGGCCAAUAAUGGUUUCUGAGCUCUGUCCUGUCUAGAUCAGGGUUUGAGGGAGGAUGGGAGCCCCGAGGCCUCAGUCCAGGCACAGGAACACAAAGGCUGCAGCGGGGAGGUGCAUAGCCAGGGUCACUGCGAGGCUGGGCUGUGACACAGAGGCCUGACACACAGGCUCCGGUCUGGACGGGGAAAGGAGUGACUCAGAGGCAUAGGGUCUGAGGGGGAGGCCGGGCCCGGGCCCUCUCCUGGGGUCCCACAGGAGGCUCCACAGGCUGAGCCCACGCACACAGCUCGCCUGCCUGGAG
rnacentral:lncRNA from 1 species